rnacentral:rRNA from 1 species
AUUGAACGCUGGCGGCAGGCCUAACACAUGCAAGUCGAACGAGUGGCGGACGGGUGGGUAAUGUCUGUGAAACUGCCUGAUGGAGGGGGAUAACUAAUGGAAACGGUAGCUAAUACCGCAUAACAUCAGAUGUGCCCAGAUGGGAUUAGCUAGUAGGUGGGGUAAUGGCUCACCAAGGCGACGAUCCCUAGCUGGUCUGAGAGGAUGACCAGCAUGACUGGAACUUAGACACGGUCCAGACUCCUACGGGAGGCAGCAGUGGGGAAUAUUGUACAAUGGGCGCAAUCCUGAUGCAGCCAUGCCGCGUGUAUGAAGAAGGCCUUCGGGUUGUAAAGCACUUUCAGCGGUGAGGCGUUACGCGCAGAAGAAGCACCGGCUAACUCCGUGCCAGCCGCCGCGGUAAUAC